AGCGAACGCUGGCGGCAGGCCUAACACAUGCAAGUCGAACGAACUCUUCGGAGUUAGUGGCGGACGGGUGAGUAACACGUGGGAACGUGCCUUUAGGUUCGGAAUAACUCAGGGAAACUUGUGCUAAUACCGAAUGUGCCCUUCGGGGGAAUGAUUUAUCGCCUUUAGAGCGGCCCGCGUCUGAUUAGCUAGUUGGUGAGGUAAAGGCUCACCAAGGCGACGAUCAGUAGCUGGUCUGAGAGGAUGAUCAGCCACAUUGGGACUGGGACACGGCCCAACCGCCUACGGGAGGCAGCAGUGGGGAAUUUUGCGCAAUGGGCGAAAGCCUGACGCAGCCAUGCCGCGUGAAUGAUGAAGGUCUUAGGAUUGUAAAAUCCUUUCACCGGUGAGGAUAAUGACUGUAGCCGGAGAAGAAGCCCCGGCUAACCUCGUGCCAGCCGCCGCCGUAA
rnacentral:rRNA from 1 species